rnacentral:rRNA from 1 species
GAAACCGCGAACGGCUCAUUAGAACAGCUAUAAUUUACUUGAUCUUGACCAGUUACUCGGAUAACUGUGGUAAUUCUAGAGCUAAUACGUGCACCAAAGCUGUUUCCUCAUGGAAGCAGUGCAUUUAUUUGAGCAAAACCAAACGGCUUCGGCCGUCCAUGGUGAGCCAGAAUAACUAAGCUGAUCGCAUGGGCUUGUCCCGGCGACGUUUCUUUCAAGUGUCUGCCUUAUCAACUUUCGAUGGUAGUGUAUCGGACUACCAUGGUGUUGACGGGUAACGGAGGAUAAGGGUUCGACUCCGGAGAAGGGGCCUGAGAAAUGGCCACUACGUCUAAGGAUGGCAGCAGGCGCGCAAAUUACCCACUCUCAGUUCGAGGAGGUAGUGACGAAAAAUAACAAGGCCGUUCUCUACGAGGCCGGCCAUUGGAAUGGGUACAAUUUAAACCCUUUAACGAGUAUCAAUGAGAGGGCAAGUCUGGUGCCAGCAGCCGCGGUAAUUCCAGCUCUCAAAGUGCAUAGAACCAUUGCUGCGGUUAAAAAGCUCGUAGUUGGAUCUGUGCCUGUGACGUGGUCCACUCGCAAGAGUGGUACUGCGCUCACGGGCUUUGGACCGGUCUUCGCGGUCGGUAGUCUUAACUGACUGCCGCCCGUGGCUGGUUGGUUUACUUUGAGCAAAUCAGAGUGCUCAGCACAGGCGUCUUGCCGGAAUGUUCGUGCAUGGAAUAAUAGAAUAGGAUUUCGGUCCUCUUUUGUUGGUUUUGUGGACUGAGAUAAUGGUUAACAGAGACGACCGGGGGCAUUCGUAUUGCUGCGUGAGAGGUGAAAUUCUUUGGACCGC